ACCCCGCCCCUCCCUUGCUUAGUCGCUCGGCUGGCCCGGCUCACCUUCGGGGUGAAGGCUACCAGCGAGCGUUAUAGCAGACGACUUUAAUAAAUGCAGGCGGCAGCAGGAACUCUGGGAACUUGGGUGCCCUUGCCUGGCAGUAAGGGUUGAAUUAUCCGGAUCUGAAAUACUUUACAGAGCCGAGGGGUGAUAGGCUCUGCAAAAGCACUUUUUGCCCCUCUCCUUUAUGCCAAUACUCGCUGACUGUGCACACAAGUCAUAUUCAGUAUUAAAUACAAACCGGUCUGUAAUUCAAUGGCUCUAGCAAGACGCCUCUGAGAGGGCCAGGUGGCGGGUGCAAGUUGCUCAUUAACCCUUUAGAGUCGCAGUUUGCAGAUCUGAGUUAGAUCCCCGGCUUUGAGGUCCUUCAGUUGCCCUCCUCCCCCACCUCCCCCCGCCACUGCGAGAAAAAUGUGCAAAGAGAAGGAAAUUUGCACAUCAAACGAGGGUAAGAAGGAAGAAGAGCUAAUUCUCUUUUGAUGGGAAGUUUAGAGAGGGAGGCGAGAGACUGGCGUUUAGAAAUUAGAUCAGGGGUGGAGGGAAGAGGGAAAUGACCAUCCGAUAAUCAAACCAUUUAAUGUUGUUCUUUGAAUCAGGGCAAUCGCGGCGGUAGAUGAACUUGAUUAGGCAGACGCGUGAGAUCAAAGUGGCCGGGACCAAAGCGGACAGGGUCCAACGUGCCAGCACUGCCAAGAGAAGGCCUUUUGUACUCAGGUUAAAUAAGAACAUCCUGCAAGGAGUCUGUUCUUUUAUGCAGCCUAAAGAUCAAGUAAUAAUCAUUGACACUGAUACUGAGCAUGUCGAUUUUGAAGAGACUAGCAUUUCCUGGUAAUGAAGUGGAGUAUAUAUCCAUAUAUUUCUGUUUUCUGGAUGAGAAGACUAACCUAACUAAGUAGGAACCUUGAAGAAUCAUGUUCUUCCUAGGAAUUACAAAUCCCCCGAUUCCAUGUCUAACAUAAUUUCUACUGGCCUCUUUGCUUCUCAUGCUUUAGUACCAGUGCUUCUGAAUUUGAAAGUCUUCAUGCAAAUUGCCCAGCUGACAGGGCAGCCACUGUUGAGGAAAUGC
rnacentral:lncRNA from 1 species